AUUGAACGCUGGCGGCAUGCUUUACACAUGCAAGUCGAACGGUAACAGGGUGCUUGCACCGCUGACGAGUGGCGAACGGGUGAGUAAUGCGUCGGAACGUGCUGAGUAGUGGGGGAUAACGCAGCGAAAGUUGUGCUAAUACUGCAUACGUACUGAGGUAGAAAGUGGGGGACCUUCGGGCCUCACGCUAUUCGAGCGGCCGACGUCUGAUUAGCUAGUAGGUGAGGUAAAGGCUCACCUAGGCGACGAUCAGUAGCGGGUCUGAGAGGAUGAUCCGCCACACUGGGACUGAGACACGGCCCAGACUCCUACGGGAGGCAGCAGUGGGGAAUUUUGGACAAUGGGCGAAAGCCUGAUCCAGCCAUGCCGCGUGUCUGAAGAAGGCCUUCGGGUUGUAAAGGACUUUUGUCGGGGAGGAAAUCCCCAGCGUUAAUACCGCUGGGGGAUGACAGUACCUGAAGAAUAAGCACCGGCUAACUACGUGCCAGCAGCCGCGGUAACAC
rnacentral:rRNA from 1 species